GAAUCUUCGGCAAUGGGCGCAAGCCUGACCGAGCGACGCCGCGUGAAGGAUGAAGGCCUUCGGGUCGUAAACUUCUAAAAGAGGGACGAUAGUGACGGUACCUCUUGAAAAGCACCGGCUAACUACGUGCCAGCAGCCGCGGUAAGACGUAGGGGCCGAGCGUUGUCCGGAGUUACUGGGCGUAAAGGGCGCGCAGGCGGCCGGUCGCAUCGGCGGUGAAAGCCCCCCGCUCAACGGGGGAGGGUCCGUCGAGAUGGAUCGGCUGGAGGCAGGGAGAGGGCGGUGGAAUUCCGGGUGUAGUGGUGAAAUGCGUAGAGAUCCGGAGGAACACCAGUGGCGAAGGCGGCCGCCUGGACCUGACCUGACGCUGAGGCGCGAAGGCGUGGGGAGCGAA
rnacentral:rRNA from 1 species